GGGCUGAUGGCGGCCGUGACGUUGGACGAGUCCGGGGGCGGCCUCCAGACGCCCGGAGGAGGGCUCAGCCUCGUCUGCAAGGGCUCCGGGUUCACCUUCAGCAGUAAUGGCAUGGCCUGGGUGCGACAGGCGCCCGGCAAGGGGCUGGAGUUCGUCGCUGGUAUUGGCAACACUGGUAGAUACACAGGCUACGGGACGGCGGUGAAGGGCCGUGCCACCAUCUCGAGGGACAACGGGCAGAGCACAGUGAGGCUGCAGCUGAACAACCUCAGGGCUGAGGACACCGCCACCUACUUCUGCGCCAAAGAUGUUUACGAUUGUUCUUAUGCUUUCGGUGCUUAUGCCGGAGGUCACACAGACAUCACAGGGUGGCGAGUUCAUCUGCAUCUGGGAAGGUUCCCCUCGGGAUGCCGAGCUCUGUGA